UACGUAGGGGGCAAGCGUUGUCCGGAAUCAUUGGGCGUAAAGCGCGUGUAGGCGGCUUCGUAAGUCCGUUGUGAAAGUCCAGGGCUCAACCCUGGAAUGCCGAUGGAUACUGCGGAGCUAGAGUCCGGAAGUGGCGAGUGGAAUUCCUGGUGUAGCGGUGAAAUGCGCAGAUAUCCGGAGGAACACCGGUGGCGAAGGCGGCUUCCUGGACCGACACUGACGCUGAGGCGCGAAAGCUAGGGGAGCAAACGGG
rnacentral:rRNA from 1 species